CGGCGGACGGGUGAGUAACACGUGGAUAACCUACCUAUAAGACUGGGAUAACUUCGGGAAACCGGAGCUAAUACCGGAUAAUAUAUUGAACCGCAUGGUUCAAUAGUGAAAGACGGUUUUGCUGUCACUUANAGAUGGAUCCGCGCCGCAUUAGCUAGUUGGUAAGGUAACGGCUUACCAGGCAACGAUGCGUAGCCGACCUGAGAGGGUGAUCGGCCACACUGGAACUGAGACACGGUCCAGACUCCUACGGGAGGCAGCAGC
rnacentral:rRNA from 1 species